UUGGAGGGCAAGUCUGGUGCCAGCAGCCGCGGUAAUUCCAGCUCCAAUAGCGUAUAUUAAAGUUGUUGCAGUUAAAAAGCUCGUAGUUGAACUUCGGGGUUUACCCAUUGGUCAGGCUUAAUUGUCUGCACUGGUGAGAUGAAUCACUACCUUCUGAGGAACUUUCAUGCCAUUUAUUUGGUGUGAUGGGAAAUCAGGACUGUUACUUUGAAAAAAUUAGAGUGUUUAAAGCAGGCUAACGUCUGAAUACAUUAGCAUGGAAUAAUGAAAUAGGACGGACUGAUUCUAUUUCGUUGGUUUCUAGGAUCACCGUAAUGAUUAAUAGGGAUAGUUGGGGGCAUUAGUAUUCAAUUGUCAGAGGUGAAAUUCUUGGAUUUAUUGAAGACUAACUACUGCGAAAGCAUUUGCCAAGGAUGUUUUCAUUAAUCAAGAACGAAAGUUAGGGGAUCGAAGACGAUCAGAUACCGACGUAGUCUUAACCAUAAACUAUGCCGACUAGGGAUCGGACGAAGUUAAUUUUAUAAUGACGCGUUCGGCACCUUACGGGAAACCAAAGUGUUUGGGUUC
rnacentral:rRNA from 1 species